rnacentral:rRNA from 1 species
CCUACGGGGUGCAGCAGUGGGGAAUAUUGGACAAUGGGCGAAAGCCUGAUCCAGCCAUGCCGCGUGUGUGAAGAAGGCCUUCGGGUUGUAAAGCACUUUCAGUGGGGAAGAAGGCCUUGGGGCUAAUACCCUCGAGGAAGGACAUCACCCACAGAAGAAGCACCGGCUAACUCCGUGCCAGCAGCCGCGGUAAUACGGAGGGUGCGAGCGUUAAUCGGAAUUACUGGGCGUAAAGCGCGCGUAGGCGGUCUGAUAAGCCGGUUGUGAAAGCCCCGGGCUCAACCUGGGAACGGCAUCCGGAACUGUCAGGCUAGAGUGCAGGAGAGGAAGGUAGAAUUCCCGGUGUAGCGGUGAAAUGCGUAGAGAUCGGGAGGAAUACCAGUGGCGAAGGCGGCCUUCUGGACUGACACUGACGCUGAGGUGCGAAAGCGUGGGUAGCAAACAGGAUUAGAUACCCCGGUAGUC